UACUCCUACGGGAGGCAGCAGUGGGGAAUAUUGGACAAUGGGCGCAAGCCUGAUCCAGCAAUGCCGCGUGUGUGAAGAAGGCCUUAGGGUUGUAAAGCACUUUCAGUAGGGAGGAAGGACUUAAUCCUAAUAUGAUUAAGUAUUGACGUUACCUACAGAAGAAGCACCGGCUAACUCUGUGCCAGCAGCCGCGGUA
rnacentral:rRNA from 1 species